UACGUAGGCAGCGAGCGUUGUUCGGAAUUACUGGGCGUAAAGAGUGUGUAGGCGGUGCUCUAAGUUCGGUGUGAAAUCUCCUGGCUCAACCCGGGAACUGCGUCCGAUACUGGAAGGCUUGAAUCCGGGAGAGGGAUGCGGAAUUCCAGGUGUAGCGGUGAAAUGCGUAGAUAUCUGGAGGAACACCGGUGGCGAAGGCGGCAUCCUGGACCGGUAUUGACGCUGAGGCGCGAAAGCCAGGGGAGCAAACGGG
rnacentral:rRNA from 1 species